rnacentral:lncRNA from 1 species
GGAAGUGUUACACGUGUCCACUGCCUGAAAAGCAAAACAAUUCUUCACGAUAGAGAUCAUUUCGAUUUAAGAUGUUGUGUAAAUGGCUUUGAAAUUUCAAAAUCCGAUUGAAAUAGCCAGUCUCGUGUGCGUUUUGGAGGAUGCCGUGAAGAAACUCAUCAUAGUAGAAAAACUUCAUAAGCCAGCGGUGAGAGCAAAUUCUCAGAAGGGAAACGCUUUUCUUACUCGAAAUUCGACAACUCAAAUUCUGCGCAUAACCCGAGAUGAGCUCUUGGAAAGUGGUUCUUACCAUUGCCUCAAAGCUUAUGUUCAAAAACAGUCGGAUCAACAACACAAAAAUGCCAACUUAAACGAAUCCCAUUCGCAAGUUUUAGUGGAAAUCAAGAAUGCCAAAAAAGUAUUGAAGAUAUCAUCAGAUCAGGAAAACAAGCUUUGCAAGAGGAGACAAACACGAUUUCAGAGAUCGUGGACGAUAUUCAAGGAGAGCUCUCGUGUAACGCGGCGCGAAUGAGUUUAGCAGAGCGAUGGGAAGAUGCCCGAGAGCAGCAGAAUAUGUUCAAGUGUCAAAUGGAAGAGGCGAAAAUCGAAACGAAAGUCCAGGAAGCGGUCGCUGCCAUCGAUUCUGAACAUCGAGUUGACGCUGAGAUAGAAAACUACCUCCAUCUUGCUAUUGCGAAACUGAAAGAUGAGAUUGAAAAUUGGACGAAGCGGUAUGAUGAGGAAAUCGCCGAGCGUGAAGCUGAAUUAGCAUCCUUGAUGGAAACAAGGAACGCAGCAUUGGAGAAACUAGAGCGGUUAAAUUCAGAGUUUACGGGGCGGCAAAAGGAAAUAGAAGACUACUUGGCAACGAAAGAGGAUCUCAGGCGGUCGAAGGAGAGAGAAGAAUAUUUGAACAAGAUGGCGACGAAAAUUCAAGCUUGGUGGCGGGGCACAAUGGUACGAAGACAUUUAGGGCCUUACAAGUAUUUCAGUAAAAUAGCACGUCCUCAAAAAAAAGGGAAGGGGAAGAAAAGUAAAUUCAACAGGACCUUUCAGAUUUAUACUAUACCUACUGGCAUUCAAAUUGUACUAUGGCCUGCAGCUCUUCUCGCAGAUCGCAAUUCAUAUCGUGAAUUUUGCCACGAAUUUUUCUUGCAUGAUUAA